UACGUAGGUGGCAAGCGUUGUCCGGAUUUACUGGGCGUAAAGGAUGCGUAGGCGGACAUUUAAGUCAGAUGUGAAAUACCCGAGCUUAACUUGGGUGCUGCAUUUGAAACUGGGUGUCUAGAGUGCAGGAGAGGUAAGUGGAAUUCCUAGUGUAGCGGUGAAAUGCGUAGAGAUUAGGAAGAACACCAGUGGCGGAAGGCGGCUUACUGGUCCGGUUCUGAC
rnacentral:rRNA from 1 species